GAUGAACGCUAGCGGCAGGCCUGACACAUGCAAGUCGAGGGGUAGAUAUCUUCGGAUAUUGAGACCGGCGCACGGGUGCGUAACGCGUAUGCAAUCUACCUUGUACAGAGGGAUAGCCCAGAGAAAUUUGGAUUAAUACCUCAUAGUAUUAUUGAAUGGCAUCAUUUACUAAUUAAAGUUCCAACGGUACAAGAUGAGCAUGCGUCCUAUUAGCUAGUUGGUGUGGUAACGGCAUACCACGGCUACGAUAGGUAGGGGUCCUGAGAGGGAGAUCCCCCACACUGGUACUGAGACACGGACCAGACUCCUACGGGAGGCAGCAGUGAGGAAUAUUGGACAAUGGGCGCAAGCCUGAUCCAGCCAUGCCGCGUGCAGGAAGAAGCAUCUAUGGUGUGUAAACUGCUUUUGUACGGGAAGAAACACUCCCUCGUGAGGGAGCUUGACGGUACCGUAAGAAUAAGGAUCGGCUAACUCCGUGCCAGCCGCCGCGGUAAAAC
rnacentral:rRNA from 1 species